GACGAACGCUGGCGGCGUGCUUAACACAUGCAAGUCGUACGGUAAGGCCCUUUCGGGGGUACACGAGUGGCGAACGGGUGAGUAACACGUGAGUAACCUGCCCACAACUUUGGGAUAACGCUAGGAAACUGGUGCUAAUACUGGAUAUGUGCCCCUGCUGCAUGGUGGGGGUUGGAAAGCUCCGGCGGUUGUGGGUGGACUCGCGGGCUAUCAGCUUGUUGGUGGGGUAGUGGCCUACCAAGGCGGCGACGGGUAGCCGGCCUGAGGGGGUGACCGGCCACAUUGGGACUGAGAUACGGCCCAGACUCCUACGGGAGGCAGCAGUGGGGAAUAUUGCACAAUGGGCGCAAGCCUGAUGCAGCAACGCCGCGGGCGGGAGGACGGCCUUCGGGUUGUAAACCGCUUUCAGCAGGGACGAAGCUUUGUGUGACGGUACCUGCAGAAGAAGCACCGGCUAACUACGUG
rnacentral:rRNA from 1 species